CCCAAAUCAGCUAUUCUAUUGUUAAUGCUUCUGUUUAGCUGCACAUGUACAACUGGUUAUUUUGUCGAUUUGUUGAUCAGCUGUAUAAUGUUUUAUGAUUGCAUAUAAACAGUAAUUUAUAAUGCUGAUUUGUUGAUCAGCCUUUUGUUCAUGUCUGUAAUUCUCCUUUUAUUUCAAUUGAAAAAAAAAAUUUAAAAAUCCCCAGAAUUUUAAAACAUACGUUAAAUUUUGAAUCAGAGGAUAACCAAUUUUUUUACUUAGAACGAAGAAAUCAAGAUUUAAAUAAUUAGAGUUAUAAUGAGUUACAGGGAUCGUAAGCAGAGGGAUCAUAAGAAUCCUAAAACCCAUGGCGAUGGUAGAUUAACAGAGAUAUUGAGAUGUGCCUCUUUUCUGGAGGUAUUUUUGGAUUGGCAGUAUCUUUUGGUGUUAGAUGGCUAUAUAACUAUGUUAAUGGUGGGAUCUUUGGUUGAGUUCAGACGUAUUUUCAUUCUGAUGAUGGAUCACAGAGUGUGAUCUGAAACAUUGAUGCAAAAUACUCACACACAAUCUAAUCUGGAAAAAGAUCAAUAAUUCAUGGAUUGUGAAAAUCUGAUGUCUCUUAUAUUAUGCAGUGUUAUUUGGGGAUGCAUUUUUCUUAGAAAAAUCAGAUCUUUGAGAAUGGAAGACGCAGGAGAGGUUUUCUCAUGUAUUAACAAUUAUAUUGUAUCAUGUAUACAUUAUGUGAAUGAUAGGUAUAACUGAGGACUUUAAUUAUA